UUAUAUAUUCCGCGAAGCACAAGACGCACGUAAACAUUUUUGAAAACCAGUGACAAUUUGUAAAUGAUAUCGAUGAACGCAGAAAACAUGGACGAAAGUGGUUCGAAUAAUAACAAUAUUCCAUCACCACCAAAGUUAAACAUUAAACUGCCAUCGUUUAGAAACAUCGGAACAGAACGUAUAGACUGGUCAUAUUUUGAGUCAGAAUUACCAACAGAUCUUCUGUUGGUAACAGCGGUAGAUUGUGAAUUCCUUAGCUGUUAUUACUACAUGGAAAAUAUUAAAAGAACUUGGUAUCAUGGCCUGGGUGAUGUUGACUUUGGUAACUUUGGCAAUGGACAGGUGAAAGUUGCAUUGGUACAAUGCAACCAAGGUGCAGCUGGGGCGGGCGCAGCACUCGACGUUGUCAAAGAUGCAGUGAACAUUUUAAAACCCAAAGCAGUUGCAUGCGUCGGGUGUUGUGGAAUGGUAAACCCAAAAAAAGCCAAGCUAGGAGAUGUCUUGAUUUCCACGAAACUGGCAACGUACGCUUCUAAGAAAAUCUCGGCAGAUGGAGAAGAGGAAUGGCGUGGUAUUCAGACAAACGUGAGCAAAAACAUGGGAGACCUCAUUCGAAGUGCAGAUCGUGGUUGGGAUCCUCCUGUAGAAGAUGAAAGGGACAAAGAAAGCGUUACAGUUCAUAAACACUCAGUAAUGUUAAGUGGUCCAGAGUUGGUUAAUAAUCUUGAGAGACGUCAAACAUUGCUAAAAAAAUUUCCAGAGGCAAUUGCUCUUGAAAUGGAAGGCGAAGGUUUGUAUACCGCUGCAUACAGUGCCGGUAUAGAAUGGGUUGUUGUUAAAGGAAUUUCAGAUUUGGCAAAUGGAAGUAAAGGAAAUGAAGGAGAUGCAAAGUGGCAACCGUUUGCCUGUGCAAUGGCAGCCUCCGUCGUUCACAACAUGUUUAAAGAUCCUACAGUUAUAAAGCAAUGGCGAAAUUAUGAAAAGCAAAGCGCCAUGAGUGCAGCAGUUAUUCCCGCUGCAAGUACUUCACCAACUCCGUUUCUGCCUAUUGAACAUUUUCUUAGAAGUAUAUCUGGUACAAAAGACGGCAAAGGUGAAAUAUGUAAAAAUAUGCAAUAUGACUAGAAGUUACUAUCGCAAGACGAAGAGCUACUCCAACCUCUCUCCCAAAAUUGCCAGGAGAUCCAAAUGAUAUUUUGCUGUUGUAAUGUAUGCCUGUGACAUCACACCAAUGAGAAAAAGCAGAAAGUGUUUUGAAGUCAUCUUCACUGUCAGUUCAUCUGAAGAAACAAUAGUUACACGCAAAAUAAUACGAAAAGUUAGUUUUAUAAAACGCGCGUUAUAACUUGUAUAACCUGGGAAAAACAGGUGGAAUUUACACUUUCGUUUUUUUGUGUUAUUUUGUGAUAAAUUUAGUGUAUGCCCUAUGUCGUCCAUAAUAUUACUAGAAAAGAAAUGAAUUUGUUUGAUUUUGUAUCACAUUCUUCCGUGUAUCUAGAAUCUGAAGUGUUCA